rnacentral:rRNA from 1 species
AUUGAACGCUGGCGGCAGGCUUAACACAUGCAAGUCGAGCGGGGUGAUGGUGCUUGCACUAUCACUUAGCGGCGGACGGGUGAGUAAUGCUUAGGAAUCUGCCUAUUAGUGGGGGACAACAUCUCGAAAGGGAUGCUAAUACCGCAUACGUCCUACGGGAGAAAGCAGGGGAUCACUUGUGACCUUGCGCUAAUAGAUGAGCCUAAGUCGGAUUAGCUAGUUGGUGGGGUAAAGGCCUACCAAGGCGACGAUCUGUAGCGGGUCUGAGAGGAUGAUCCGCCUCACUGGGACUGAGACACGGCCCAGACUCCUACGGGAGGCAGCAGUGGGGAAUAUUGGACAAUGGGGGGAACCCUGAUCCAGCCAUGCCGCGUGUGUGAAGAAGGCCUUAUGGUUGUAAAGCACUUUAAGCGAGGAGGAGGCUCUUUUGGUUAAUACCCAAGAUGAGUGGACGUUACACGCAGAAUAAGCACCGGCUAACUCUGUGCCAGCCGCCGCUGUAA